UACGAAGGGGGCUAGCGUUGCUCGGAUUGACUGGGCGUAAAGGGCGCGUAGGCGGUUCGUACAGUCAGACGUGAAAUUCCUGGGCUCAACCUGGGGGCUGCGUUUGAUACGUGCGGACUUGAGUGCGGAAGAGGGUCGUGGAAUUCCCAGUGUAGAGGUGAAAUUCGUAGAUAUUGGGAAGAACACCGGUGGCGAAGGCGGUUCUCUGGGACGGUACUGACGCUGAGACGCGAAAGCGUGGGGAGCGAACAGG
rnacentral:rRNA from 1 species